rnacentral:lncRNA from 1 species
GGCUCCAACUUGAGGUUGAAAGGAAAAACAUUUUAUUGACCUAAAACUACACAGAAAAACACACAAAACACAGGAUGAGAACCAUCCGAAUUUCUUCCUCUUCCCCCCACCAAAUUUCCAAUUCCAUUACCACCCUUCAGAUAAUCAAUUCUCAAUUCCUCGAGAAGAGAGAAGUCCCUCUUGCACCACAGAUUUCCCCAGGAAACAGCUGAAACCUCUCGUGUUUCCAUGUCACAUGUGGCACCGCCCGGAGAACAUUUUGCCAUCGUGACUUCUUCCUUCCAUGUCCAGUGCUCUCACCACUGCACAUGGAUCAGAGCUGCUUCUAGGGUUUUUCCCUUUAAGGAUACUUUGUCCAGUUCCAAAGAGAGCACAGUCCCUCUCCUUUUGGGACACCUGUCCCCCCCAAAUUUCACCCCCUGGGGCCGAGGGGUCUCUUGAACAGAGAUCAUCUUCCUCUUCCUCUUCUUCAAAGCGGAGGGCACCACCACCACCCUCCUCACCCGUCGUCUCUGUUCACACUCCUCCACAUCACUGCACUCUCCUGGCUCUGAGCCAUCGCCUCCCCCUGGAAUGCAGUCUCUGGGUCACGGGAACACAAGGGGUUCUGCUGUGGCUAUACAAGAAAAGUCCAGCCAAAGGCCACUCCAUCAUCUCCUCCCACCUAGGAUUCUUCUCAACAUCCUCUCAAUCUCAUCAACUUCAGGAGGAAUCAGCAUUUGCAAGGUUUCCAUCCUCCCCAGAAGGGUUAAAAGUCCCAGGCUCUGCCGGUUUGCUUCAUGAACUCCCACGCCUGGCUGCCCUGCUGGGCACCCCCCCUUCUCCUUCACGCCGGCCGCGCUAUCACAGGCACCGGCUCUGGCUCUCUCUCCCUCUCUCCAGGGGGGGGGAAAUGGGGGAUGGCUGCCCGAAGCCCUUGCAAUGUUCUCCUCCACCCUUGGGCCCAGGCCUGGCCUACCUCCCUCCGGCCGCAUGGCUCCCCUCCCCCCCUGCCCAGCUCGGGCCGGGCAGGGAGGGGGGUCUGCUCAGUCCCAAACCGUAACU